GGGGGCGUAGCUCAAUCGGGAGAGCGUCUGCUUUGCAAGCAGAAGGUCGUCGGUUCGAUUCCGGUCGCCUCCACCA
rnacentral:tRNA from 1 species